rnacentral:rRNA from 1 species
UACGAAGGGGGCUAGCGUUGCUCGGAAUCACUGGGCGUAAAGGGUGCGUAGGCGGGUCUUUAAGUCAGGGGUGAAAUCCUGGAGCUCAACUCCAGAACUGCCUUUGAUACUGAAGAUCUUGAGUUCGGGAGAGGUGAGUGGAACUGCGAGUGUAGAGGUGAAAUUCGUAGAUUAUCGCAAGAACACCAGUGGCGAAGGCGGCUCACUGGCCCGAUACUGACGCUGAGGCACGAAAGCGUGGGGAGCAAACAGGG